rnacentral:rRNA from 1 species
AACGAACGCUGGCGGCAUGCCUAACACAUGCAAGUCGAACGAGACCUUCGGGUCUAGUGGCGCACGGGUGCGUAACGCGUGGGAACCUGCCCUUAGGUUCGGAAUAACUCCCCGAAAGGGGUGCUAAUACCGGAUAAUGUCUUCGGACCAAAGAUUUAUCGCCUUUGGAUGGGCCCGCGUUGGAUUAGCUAGUUGGUAGGGUAAAAGCCUACCAAGGCGACGAUCCAUAGCUGGUCUGAGAGGAUGAUCAGCCACACUGGGACUGAGACACGGCCCAGACUCCUACGGGAGGCAGCAGUGGAGAAUAUUGGACAAUGGGCGAAAGCCUGAUCCAGCAAUGCCGCGUGAGUGAAGAAGGCCUUAGGGUUGUAAAGCUCUUUUACCCGGGAUGAUAAUGACAGUACCGGGAGAAUAAGCUCCGGCUAACUCCGUG